CAGCCGCCGCGGGAAUACGGAGGGUGCGAGCGUUAAUCGGAAUAACUGGGCGUAAAGGGCACGCAGGCGGUGACUUAAGUGAGGUGCGAAAGCCCCGGGCUUGACCUGGGAAUUGCAUUUCAUACUGGGUCGCUAGAGUACUUUAGGGAGGGGUAGAAUUCCACGUGUAGCGGUGAAAUGCGUAGAGAUGUGGAGGAAUACCGAAGGCGAAGGCAGCCCCUUGGGAAUGUACUGACGCUCAUGUGCGAAAGCGUGGGGAGCAAACAGGAUUAGAUACCCCUGUAGUCCCUGUCUCUUAUAC
rnacentral:rRNA from 1 species